AGUCGAGGGGCAGCGGGGGCGGAAGCUUGCUUUCGCCCGCCGGCGACCGGCGCACGGGUGAGUAACACGUAUGCAACCUGGCCGCCACAGGGGGAUAACCCGCGGAAACGCGGCCUAAUACCCCGUGACGCCACCGGAGGGCAUCCUCCGGUGGCCAAAGGAGCGAUCCGGUGGCGGAUGGGCAUGCGGCGCAUUAGCUAGACGGCGGGGUGACGGCCCACCGUGGCGACGAUGCGUAGGGGUUCUGAGAGGAAGGCCCCCCACACUGGGACUGAGACACGGCCCAGACUCCUACGGGAGGCAGCAGUGAGGAAUAUUGGUCAAUGGGCGGAAGCCUGAACCAGCCAAGUCGCGUGAGGGAUUAAGGCCCUGCGGGUCGUAAACCUCUUUUGCCGGGGAGCAGUGGUCCGGACGCGUCCGGGCCGGGAGAGUACCCGGAGAAAAAGCAUCGGCUAUCUCCGUGCCAGCAGCCGCGGUAAUACGGAGGAUGCGAGCGUUAUCCGGAUUUAUUGGGUUUAAAGGGUGCGUAGGCGGGCAUUUAAGCCGGCGGUCAAAUGUCGGGGCUCAACCCCGGCCUGCCGUCGGAACUGGGUGCCUUGAGUGGGCGAGAAGUAUGCGGAAUGCGUGGUGUAGCGGUGAAAUGCAUAGAUAUCACGCAGAACCCCGAUUGCGAAGGCAGCAUACCGGCGCCCUACUGACG
rnacentral:rRNA from 1 species